rnacentral:rRNA from 1 species
GGAAAGAACCGAAAGGUGCCAGAGCCGAUGUUGAAGGUAUGGAAAACGAGGUCUGUUUUCUGGGACUUGCCGUACUGUAAGAUCCUCCGUGUGCCUCAAAGCCUUGAUGGCAUACAUAUCACGAAGAACGUGUGCGGGAGUCUGCUUGGUAACCUGCUCAACAUGCUAGAGAGGACCAAAGAUGGGUCGAAAGCAAGGGCAGACUUGAAACCAAUGGGCUUUAGGGAGGAGCUUCAUGCUAAUGAUGAUGAUGAUGAGGCGAAGGACACGGAAAGUCAUCGCAAAGGCAAAAAGGCCAAGAAUAUCGGAAAUGAC